rnacentral:rRNA from 1 species
GGCGUAGGUGGUCUUGCAAGUCAGGAGUGAAAGCCCCGGGCUCAACCCAGGAAGUGCUUUUGAAACUGCAAGACUUGAAUGUGGGAGAGGGUAGUAGAAUUCCAGGUGUAGUGGUGAAAUACGUAGAUAUCUGGAGGAAUACCGGUGGCGAAGGCGGCUACCUGGCCCAACAUUGACACUGAGGCCCAAAAGCGUGGGGAUCAAACA